UGGGGUACAGUGACACUGUGGUCAGUGGAGGAGGUGAGGCCGUUCAGGGAAACAGCCUUGCUGACAGGAACUGGGGGCAGCGGGCAGAUGCUGCUGGUGUCAGGGUUUACGAGAAGGACGGAGAGGCAGCAGAAUCGUCGGAGCCUGUGGAACCGCAGCGUCCCCAGAGUCCCUAGGGGUAGCCCUCAUCGCUGCUACUGCCCCGUGUCCUCGCUUAGCGUCCUCCUCUGCAGGCGGCGCCCCGAACCUGGCAACCAGGGGCAGAUGUUUUUGAUGGAAUGACAGCUUUUUGAAGUUUCAUUAUGAGAAGAGACAGAGAACAAAGAAGAGGAAAUGUUUGAAGAUGUUAUGACCGAUACCUUUCCCGAAAUGAUGAAAGAUACCAGUAUCACUUAAUGAAUAAAACAAAUUCUAAAUAAGGCUAUAAUUAUAAGGCUGAAGUAACAUCUGUCUUCACAUUAGUUCCUAUGUUCCUUCUGCAAACACAACUAUAAUGUCUCACCAGCAGACCUGAGAUUUCGGAUUUCCAGGUAUCAAGACCUAAAAAGGGGGUUUGCAGUCUAGCACCACGCCGGAGAAGCUGGGAGUAGGAGCAGUAGAAGAGGAGACAGUCUUUCCUGAGCACAGAGAGAAUGGCAAGAGCGGAGAGAGGGGGCAGCUCAAGUCCAAGGUCCUGCGUGGUGGUCCCUUUUACACUGCCCUAGGGAGACUUUGUCCAGAGGAAGACACAAAGCCAAUGGGCUGGAAGAUAGAAAAAUGACUACGAGAUCCUUGACUACAGACACCAGACUCGCUGGUGCCACGGAGAACACACGUGGAUCAUCAUAUUAGAAGGCGGGUCAAUUACCGUCCCGUCCAGCACAGGUCCGUGAGCGGGAAGAGAGAGGCACACGAAAACCAGAGAAGGUCUGUGAUGGCUGGCCACUGGCCUGUUAGAGUCUAAGCCUGGAAACGAAGCCCGCGCCCGCGGCACACCCUGCCCACGUUUUCGCUUACCUCAGGAAUAGUUGGAAUCCGUUGCUAUGGGAGGAAGGGUGACACACGAUAACGCUUUUAUUUAUGACGCGUCACCCUGCUACAGUCGACGAGGAUCUGAGGCAGGUGCUGCCUCACACUUACACCUGUCUGGAGACGUGUAUCCUCCAGAAGCCUGGGCCAAACCGCUGGGUAACUGGACACCAACCCCAGGUCCGCUGGGUCAAACCUACAAGAGAGCACGCCAGCUUGGCGAUUUUCCGCGCAGCUUCUUCCCCUCUUCACUCCCAGCCAUACUGGCCAUUGCUCGCCCUGUCUGCAGGCAUCACUGUCUUCCCCGGGCCCCUCGUGGCUUACCUCGUCCCAGUUCACCUCAAACGUGAGUUCCCAAUGGAGGGCGAUGUCAUGCCCAAAGGACAAGCUGUUAAACACAGGAUGAGUGACAAUGCCUUAAAGAUUAGAAAAGGAGGUGAGCAGAUACAGUAUAUCCUGGGUGUUCAGAUUUUACUGUGUGGGUGACUAGACAAAAAGAGGCCUAAACGACACCUUGGGGGGUGAUGAAAAGAAUCAAAGCCUGAGGACGCUGACCUGCCGCACCCACUAGGUGUCCCGGCGACACCGACUGCCCUCCUACCUGACGCCCCUCUGGUCUAAUGUUUAACAGACAUAAAACGUGAAGCUCUCAUGCAACGAAAGUGUUUCCAGCCACUUCAUUUAAAAAAGUAAAAAAGAAAUGGGAAAUUUUCAUUUGAAUGUAUUUGACUUAACCUAACAUAUCCAAAAUGGUCAACAUACAAUACGUAUAAUUACGACUGAGCUAUUUUAAAUGAUCGUUGUCUGCUGAUCUUCAAGUGCCAGUGAGUAUUUUAUGCUUCUACUCCAUUGCAAUUUGAAUGUGAUUUUUCACUGAAACGUCUUGAUUUGUUACAUUUCCUGAAAUUUACAGUUAAGAAGUAGAAUCACAUACUCAAGCCAUUCUAAACAUGUUCAACCAUUUCUGAUAAAUAAAUACAGUAUCCAAUAUUUUAAAUUAAAUAUGAAUGAAUG